UCAACAAAAUGAAGACCGCGUGCAGCCACGGACCCGCGUAGGCGAGCGAGGAAGGAAGCGGGCGAGAGCGAUUCGAGUGGGAAGGCGACUGAAGACCGACCGACGCCAUGGCGGUCGCAAGCUUUUACCGGAGAGUACUUCCUUCUCCGCCGGCGAUCGAGUUUCCCUCUCCCGAAGGAAAGAGAUUAUUCUGUGAAGCUCUUCAAAAUGGAACUAUGGAGGGCUUCUUUAAAUUAAUUUCUCACUUCCAAACCCAGUCAGAGCCUGCAUAUUGUGGGUUGGCCAGUUUAUCUAUGGUAUUGAAUGCCCUUGCUAUAGAUCCGCAUAGAAAAUGGAAAGGUCCUUGGAGAUGGUAUGAUGAGUCCAUGUUGGAUUGUUGUGAACCUUUGGAGAAAGUUAAGGCUGAAGGUAUCACAUUCGGUAAAGUGGCUUGCUUGGCUCAAUGUGCAGGAGCUAAAGUCGAAUCUUUUCGUACAAAUCAAUGCAACAUUGAUGAUUUUCGUCACAAUGUUAUCAAAUGUUCUUCUUCAGAAGACUGUCAUCUUGUAGCAUCAUACAGUAGAAAACCCUUAAAACAGACUGGGAUUGGUCAUUUUUCACCAAUUGGUGGAUAUCAUGCAGAAAGUGAUAUGGUACUAAUCCUUGAUGUAGCUCGCUUCAAAUAUCCUCCUCAUUGGGUUCCACUUGCGCUUCUUUGGGAAGCAAUGGAUACAAUUGAUAAUGCAACUGGGCAUCGUAGGGGGUUUAUGCUUAUUUCUGGUUAUGAGAAAGCACCAUCAUUGCUUUAUACACUGGAAUAUUCAAAGAAAAUAGGUGCAGUCAAAAUAAAAAAAGUGAAUUUGUUUCUAGAGAACUGCAGAGAUGAAAGCUGGUUGAGCAUUGUUAAAUAUUUGAUUAAUGAUGUACCUAUUCUUUUGAAAUCUGAGGACCUAAAAAGUGCUUCCCAAGUUCUUGAUUGUGUGUUGAAGUCCUUACCUGCAUGUGCUGGAGAUUUUAUUAAACAGAUUCUUGAGGUUAGGAGACAAGAGGAAGAUGGAUCUACCUUGAGCAAUGAGGAGAAAGAGAGACAUGCUCUGAAGGGAGAGAUACUGAAGCAAGUUCAUGAGACUGUGCUAUUUAGAUAUGUAACAGACAUAUUAUCAUCUUCAAUCACAAAUGACAAUCUUAAAGAGGAUAUUGUAACUGUAUGUUGCCAAGGAACAACCUUACUUCCAGGAGUCUCAGUGUGUAGAACAAGAAUUGGUUUCAAAGCUACAGGUGUUACAUGCAUGAAGGCCAACAAUGAUAACCUAACAGCUAUCUCUGGUAUAACAGUUUCAGGUGGCAAUGAACAGGGAAUUAAUAUAUUGGAACCUGUAUCAGCAUCAGUGGCGGAGAGCACUUGCAGUUCCACAUUUGAUGUACCUGUUAUUGUACAAUUAGCAAGUAAUGCUGCUAUAACUGUGCUACUAUUGGCUUUACCUGCAAGCACAUGGUCAGGGGUUAAGGAUGCAAACUUGCUGGUUGAAAUUCAAGAUCUUUUUUCAACUGAGAAUUUUGCUAAUCCUCUUCGGAAUGAGAUUCUGCACUUGCGUCAGCAGUUCUAUUUUCUGAGAAGGUGUGCAGAUGAGGAAACAAGUGAUGAUCUAAAGUUCCCUGUUUGCCCAUAGCGAUAUGAAAUUUCGUGGAAUAUCAAAGAGGUGAAGGUGGACAUUAUUCGCGUCUGCACGCAGGUCAAGGACACAUGUUCUUUCAACAUCCACUAUACAUGUUGAGAAGAUAAGCAAAAAUGACACGAUAAAUAUUUGGCAGCAACAAUUGGUCAUAUUAAUAUGAACUAGUUGAAGAAAUGGUGGACGAGAAUCUACUCAAAGACUUGUAAAUAAGGGUUGUAGUUCCCUUCCACCAGAAUGAUUUGGUGUCGGUCCUGUGUUGGGCACGCUGAUCUGGGGUGUUGGAGGCACUGAGGAAAGGAAGGAAUAAAGUAGGAGCAAGAACGUGUCAUAGACCUCUCACAAAACUCUUGGGACUUUGCCAGAGCCUUGUGCACUUCAUAUGAAGUUGUUGCUGUCAUCGUGCAAAGUCAUCCCCUUUAAGAUCUCAUAGAAGCCUCAGGUGAAGCAAGUUACUUCAUUGAUUAUGAUGAAAUGAAGAAAGAAUUGAAGUGCAUGGAUAGAAAACAUAUAAUUGUUGAUCCUUGAGAUGUCUUCCGUGAGGCUACUUAUUCCUAUCCACCAAGGUUUAUUUUGAAGGAUAAAUAAUGGAGGGAAUAAAAGUGAUGACCUCAUGUGUGAUUUUGGAAUCAUCCUCUUCACUCGGUACUUCUUCCUUUGAUGUGAUCGGAGCAUUUUAAACUUUGACGUCGUGUUUUUUUUUAUUGAAAAAGGAUGAAAGUGCCUUGAGAACAUUUAAAAGGAAAUGGGCUAAAGUAAGUUGUUAUUGAGCUGUUGACUUGUUAUGUAUUUAUUUAUUUCUCUGGUCAUUUAGAUGUUCAUGAGCCUUCUUAUUUUGAAGAAGCAAAAAGUGUUAAAAGAAUGGAAGGAGACUAUAGAUGAGAAAAUGAUCUCAUACCAAAGCCUAAGGGUGCAGAUUCCGUCACUUUCAAGUUGGUCUAUAAGCUAGAGUAUAAGGCGAAUAAAAUAUAGACCACUACAAAGUAAGACUUGUCACAUGGUGAAAACUAAAGGAAACUUUUAGUCCUGUUGUCAAGAUGACAUCAAUAAGGACGUUGAGAAUUCCUUCAUAUGCCAUGAGAUAUAAAAGGACAGUCACAGAGUAAUCUCCUGGCUAGAAUACUCGACUAUAAUAUCUCAAAGCCUUAGUUUAGCUUGUUAUUUCCUGAAGUUGCAAAGAGGAUACUCGACUAUGUAAAGAGGCUAGAAUUUGCAGAGACGAUACUUAACUAUGUAAAUUCAACUCUUUAUUUUAGCUUGUUUAGAAGGGCGGUCAACUUCUUUUGCACAUAUUAGUGCAAAAGACGUAUAAGUGCUUGUAAAUGUUUUUUCCCUCUUGUUCUUGUCAAAAAAUCAGCUGUCAUUUUGUUGCAUCUAGUUAUAGCUGUUGUGUAGGAUAUUUUUGAC